UGCCCUGCACUCUGGGACAAGCCCUGGAAACGGGGUCUAAUACCGGAUAUGACUACUGAGGGCAUGGUUGGUGGUGGAAAGCUCCGGCGGUGCAGGAUGAGCCCGCGGCCUAUCAGCUUGUUGGUGGGGUGAUGGCCUACCAAGGCGACGACGGGUAGCCGGCCUGAGAGGGCGACCGGCCACACUGGGACUGAGACACGGCCCAGACUCCUACGGGAGGCAGCAGUGGGGAAUAUUGCACAAUGGGCGAAAGCCUGAUGCAGCGACGCCGCGUGAGGGAUGACGGCCUUCGGGUUGUAAACCUCUUUCAGCAGGGAAGAAGCGAGAGUGACGGUACCUGCAGAAGAAGCGCCGGCUAACUACGUGCCAGCAGCCGCGGUAAUACGUAGGGCGCAAGCGUUGUCCGGAAUUAUUGGGCGUAAAGAGCUCGUAGGCGGCUUGUCGCGUCGGAUGUGAAAGCCCGGGGCUUAACCCCGGGUCUGCAUUCGAUACGGGCAGGCUAGAGUUCGGUAGGGGAGAUCGGAAUUCCUGGUGU
rnacentral:rRNA from 1 species